rnacentral:tRNA from 1 species
GCCCACGUGGUGGAAUUGGUAGACACGCUACCUUGAGGUGGUAGUGGCGAGAGUCGUGGGAGUUCGAGUCUCUCCGUGGGCACCA